AGGUUGUGGUCCAGCCAUCAAGUAGGGUGACCAUUCCAUUUGGUCUAAGAAUUCUAAAGGAAGGUAGACAUUUGUUUAGUUACUUGGUACACCCUAGCUUUACCUCUGGACAAUGCUUUAUGGUAAUGGGAGGAAAAUCACUUGUCUUUUCUCCAUAGCCCUCUGCCUGACUGUAAGGUACUAGCCCAGAUUGGGGCUACCAAUGCCAGGUGGUUUAUGUGGAGAUGAUUUUUCACCUUUAAACUCUAAGCCAAGUAUCAACAUAAAAAAUCCUUGAUAUCUGUCUAUUUUAUACCAGUCACUGAGACAUUUUUUAAGUUGUAUUUAUAAGUUUGUAUUUAUUAUUAAAACAACUUUACCAAAAAAGUCCCCUAAAGCACAACUAUUUACAUUUCUUUAUAGCCUCUUCUGAUCUCUAACAUAUAUAUGCAGUUUUAACUGUUAGUGUUGUAGUAAUUGAUCUUUUGACUUAGGAUUUUUACCUGAGAGCACAAUGCAUUGAGUCUCUUGAAAAUCAUGUUCCAGAUCUUUUUACAGAAUGAAUUUAUGCACUGCUACUGUAGUAUUCUCAAGGAUAAACACAAGAUGAAGGUUAUCCUUGUUUCUCUGUCCAUCUCAAAUCAUGUGUAUGUGUGUGAGUGCCUGUGUGCGUGUGAUCACACAUUGUAAAGAACAGAAAUUACUUUAAAAAAUAAAAGAAAAUGGAGACCUGAAGUUUCACAUUGAUUUACACAUUUUGUUUGGGUAUGUCUCUAAGGAAUUCAAAAUUUUUGCCUCCGUUUUCAAUUG
rnacentral:lncRNA from 1 species